UUUUGGGGUAAAUGCGGGAUUUUCCAAGAGAAAAGGCAAGAUUUUUGAGUGAAAUGGGGGAUUUUCCAAGAGAUAAUGCGUGAUUUUGGGGUUAAAGGGGGAUUUCUGAGGAGGAAAUGUGUGAUUCUUGGGAUAAUGGGGUAUUUUUGGAGAGAAAAUGCGUGAUUUUGGGGUAAAUGCGUGAUUUUGCAAGAGAAAAGGCGAGAUUUUUGAGUUAAAUGGGGGAUUUUCUAAGAGAAAAUGCAUGAUUUGGGGGUUAAAGGGGGAUUUCUGAGGAGAAAAUGUGUGAUUCUUGGGAUAAUGGGGUAUUUUUGGAGAGAAAAUGCAUGAUUUUGGGGUAAAUGCGGGAGUUUGCAAGAGAAAAUGCAUGAUUUGGGGUUUAAAUGGGGGAUUUUCUAAGAGAAAAUGCAUGAUUUGGGGGUUAAAAGGGGAUUUCUGAGAAGAAAAUGUGUGAUUCUUGGGAUAAUGGGGUAUUUUUGGAGAGAAAAUGCAUGAUUUGGGGGUAAAUGCGUAUUUUCCAAGAGAAAAGGCGAGAUUUUUGAGUGAAAUGGGGGAUAUUCUAAGAGAAAAUGCGUGAUUUUGGGGGUUAAAUGGAGGAUUGUUGAAGAGAAAACACAUAAUUUUUGGUUUAAACAGCUAUUUUAGAAGAGAAUAUGCUAGAUUUUCAGUUUAAAUCAGGGAUUGUCAAAGAGAAAAUGUGUGAUUUUUGUUUAAAUGGGGUAUUUUGGAAGGGAAGAUGCGUGAUUUUCGGGUUAAAUGGGGGAUUUUCGAAGAGAUAACAUGUGAUUUUGGGGAUAAUGGGGUAUUUUCUAAGAGAAACUGCAUGAUUUUGGGGUAAAUGCAGGAUUUUCCAAGAGAAAAGGCAAGAUUUUUGAGUGAAAUGGGGGAUUUUCCAAGAGAUAAUGCGUGAUUUUGGGGUUAAAAGGGGAUUUCUGAGGAGGAAAUGUGUGAUUCUUGGGAUAAUGGGGUAUUUUUGGAGAGAAAAUGCGUGAUUUUGGGGUAAAUGCGGGAGUUUCCAAGAGAAAAGGCGAGAUUUUUGAGUUAAAUGGGGGAUUUUCCAAGAGAAAAUGCGUUAUUUUCAUUUACAUGUGAGUUUUUUGUAGAGGAAACACGUGAUUUUGGGGUUAAAUGGGGGAUUCUUGAAGUGAAAAUGUGAUUUUUUGAGUUAAAUGGGGGAUUUUUGAGGAGAAAAUGCGUGAUUUUGGGUUAAAUGAGGGAUUUCCGAAGAGAAACUGUGAGUUUUGUGGUGAAAUUGCGGGAUUUUCGUUUCCGUUUUUUUUUUUUUUUUUUUUUUGGUAGAGAAAAUGUGUGAUUUUCGUGUUAAAUGGAGUAUUUUUGAAGAGAAAAUGUGUGAUUUUGGGCUUAAAUGGGGGAUUUUUGUAGAGAAGGAGUGAUUUUCGAGUUAAAUCAGGUAUUCUCAAAGAGAAUAUCCGUGAUUUUGGGGUUUAAUGGGGGAUUUUUGUAGAAAAAUACAUGAUUUUCAUGUUGAAUCGCCAAUUCUUGAAGAGAAAAUGCAUGAUUUCUGCUUUAAAUGUGAGAUUUUAACAGAGAAAAAGCGGGAUUUUCAGGUUAAGCCGGAUAUUUUUUGUAGA
ensembl:lncRNA